UAUCUUGGUGUCUCUUCAGAUCGAAUAAUGCUUGGCUUUUUGCUAAGAGUUUUCGUGAAGUGAACCUUCCAUGAGUUCCACUAAUUUUUUGAGGCUCUGCCCAUGCAGGGCU